rnacentral:hammerhead_ribozyme from 1 species
AUCUAACUGACAAGUCCAAAAUAAAGCGAAACGCGCGUCCUGGAU